CCGGACACAGUUGUAUAUCUUAGUUGCAGGUCCUUCUAGUUGUGGGAUGUUAGUGGCCACUUCUGACUUAAGGUAAUAAACUAGUUGCUGAUCGUGGUUAGAUCUACUCAUCUGCUCUGGAUAUAUGCUGUUUCCCUGAAGGAGAUUUUUUUGUUGUUGUUGUGUUUUUUUUUUAACCUGGAUUUUUUGACGUCUUUGAGCAGGGCACUUAUUUUCUAAUUGCUCCCUGUGUCCCAUCACUCCUAUACUCUGUGCAUUUAUUUCCAUGUUUAUGUUCCCUUCUUGACCUCUGUGGAUAUUGUCAUAUUUCUCUAAUACUCCAGGAUUCUGGCAUUUCCUUGAGAGGAUCUUGGCCUAGUGAUCGUGGUCUGUCACAGCCAAAAAUCCUUGGGCUCACCAUCUCUGAAGAGGCUAUUUGGUCCUCCCUGUAGCAUCCAGUCCUCCACCCAGCUGGCAUGGUUAGCCCUCAGUCUGUGCUCAUCCCUAAGGUGGGCAGUGUCAGGGGUACAAAGACAUAUGAGUCAUGUUGCCUUCUUGCUCUCAAGCCAUUUAAUCUAGUUUCCAAGAUAAGACUAAUUCACGUGAAGCAAGAGCCGACAAUCUAGAACAAAUAGAAUUAUAUACUCACUUGUGAAGCCCAGGUCACACACAUCCCAUUUCAGAGGAGGGAAGGUAUAGUGAGGACCAGGGUGGUCAGACAGGGCUCCUGCGUAGAGUGACGUUGGAGUUGGUUCUAAAGGUGCAGGCUGUGAGGGAAAGGAGGUGUUCCAGGUGGGGGAGAAACUUACCAACAGAUGCAGAACCCUGAGGAAUGGGGCACGGAGUGUGUCUGGCAGUAAGAAGUGCAUCUAUCUCUAGCAGAGGUGCAGGUGGGCGAACUCAGGGGACUUGUGGGGAAAGACUGGAGGUGCAGAGGUGCGGCCUGUUGAUGAAGAGCCAGUACAUUUAAUUGAUUUCAAUUACUGAACGUAAUUGGUAUUUUAGAAGUAGGCAUACAUAUACAUGGUACGAAAUUCCAAACAAAUAAGAAAGUAUGUACUAUGUAUCUUUCCCACCCUUUUCUCCCCUUUUUCUUGCCUGUGUACCUUUCAGAAUUUUCUUUCCAUUUAUCUUUCAGAAUUAAUUUAGCAUAGGAAGCAUAAAUAAAGUGACGUUGUUUUCUUCAGAAAUGGAAACAUAUGAUAGACACUGUUUUUCCUCUUUCUUGUUUUAUUGAAUAAUUGGAACAUAUCUUGCGUAUAUAAUUUUCUUUGAUGGCUCUACCAUGUUGUUUGAUAGAAGUGCAACACAACUUUUCUUUAAUCCCAUAUUCGUGGAUAUUUAGUUAUUUAAAGUCUUUUGAUGUGAAUAAUAAUGCUGACACAAACCUCAUGUAUAUAAGUCCUUGUGCACGGGUAUGAGUGUAUGUAUAUAUAGAAGAAAUUCCUAAGAGUUGAAUUGAUGGAUGAAAGGGGAUCAGUAUUUUUAAUGUUGAUAUUGUCUUAUUGCCCCACCAAUGUAGGAAUUUGCACUCUCACCAAAACAGUGUAAGGUUGCUUUCAUUCCUUGCUUAUUGAUUCAAUAUUAUCAAAUUUUUUAUCUUUGUCAACUGGAGAAGUGAUAAAUUGUAUCUUGUAAGUUUACAAAUUUGUUUUAAGGUAGGCUAAUCACUUAAUUACAUAAUCACUUUUAUAUGUUUAUUUCCUCUUCUGUUAAAUAUCUGUUCCUAUUGUUUGCCCACAGAUUAUUGAUCUUUUACAUAUGGAUUUUUAAGUGCUUUUUAAAUUAAGAAAAUUAGCACUCUCUAUUUGCAUUACAAGAGGCACCCAGGUGAUCCUGGGGGUACCUGGGGUACCUCCUAGUGACGCCAUGCCCAGUGGUCAAAGUUAAUGGAGAACCCCUGUAACCUUCAUUAAGCUGGACCACCAGGGGCUGGUAUCCCUUGGGUGUGAAGGUUUGGGUCUCUUAACAGGCAUAGAAUAUCAACUGGCUGAAGUGCCAGUUGGAGGUAAAGGGAAUAAGUCAUAGAGGAAGGGUGGUAAAGAGAAUUCUAGAUUCCUGUCCCCUGGUCUGCAUACCCUGUGUAAUCCUUCUUUGAGGGGUUCCCCUUGACCUCUUUACCUGUAAAUAUGAUAGGAUAUCACACAUGUGAUUAAGCUAUUGCCAUAUGGCAAAAAUGAAGGGAUUUUGCAGAUGUAAUUAAGGUCCCUAAUCAAUUGACUUUGAGUUAGUCAAAAGGGAGAUUAUCCUGGGUGGGCCUGACCUAAUCAGAUAAGUCCUUUAAAAAAGUGUCUGGAGAUAAGAGGCAGCAGCAGAUGCUCUCAUGUUGGCCUUGAAGAAGCAAACUGUCCUGUUGUGGAGAGGGCCAUGCAGCAGGGAGUUGCAGGCAGCUCUAGGGACUGAGGACCUCAGUCCUACAACCACAACUGCCAACACCCAGAGGCUGUAGAAGAGGACUCUGAGCCUGAGAUGAGGUUGCAUCCCCGAGUUCAGCCUGGGGAGACCCCGAGCAGAGGACCCAGCCAAUCUGUACCUGGACUGCUGACCCACAGCAACUGAGAGGUUCUUGUGGUGAUGUUGCUCGUACUCAUGAAGACUCUGGUUUACUUCUGGCAGUUGCCCCGUUGAUGUUGGGCAUGGCUCUGUGACCGACUUCAGCCAAUGAAAUGUGUGCAGAAGUGGCAUGUGUCAUCUGUGGACAGAAGCAUUUAAGCAAGGAUUCCCCUUGCUGUCUUCCGUGGCUGGAAUGAUCAUGGAACAUGUGUUGAGAUGAAGGAGCAUGCCCAAAGAUCAAGGCAGCCUGAAAUGUUGAGCCACCGUAUGGAGCACAGCUGUGCUAGAGACUCGCCUGGACCCACAGCAGGCUUGGUGUGCAUGGGGAAUAGAAUUUUGUUGCCUUAAGCCACUCAGAUUUGGGUGGCAUUUGUUGUUGCAGCGUAACCCAGCCUAUCCUAACCAAUCAGGUGUCUUGGUGGUGGUUCUCAGGUGGUAGAAUAGGGAGAUGAGAUUACAGCAAAACUAGGGGAGGAAUGGAUGUCACUUCCAGAUCUUGGAUUUAGAAUUGGAUUUUGUUGGGGGUGGGGGUGGGGUGGCACUGUGGCUGAGUGGUUAAAGUUCCAUGCACUCUGCUUCAGUGGCCCAGGUUUGAGGGUUCGGAUCCUGGGUGCAGACCUACUCUGCUCAUCAGUCAUGCCAUGCCUCCAUGCCAGUGGAGGAAGACUCGCAUGGCUGUUAGCUCACUGUGAAUCUUCCUCACACACACACACACACACACACACACAGGUAGAACUGGGUUUUGCUGUGGAUUGAAUUGUGUCCCCCAGAAUUCGUACAUUGAAGCCCUACUCCCAACAUGACUGUAUCUGGGAUAGGGUCUUUAGGAAGUACUUAAGGUGAAAUGAGGUCAUCAGGGUGGGGCCCUAAUCAGACAGGACUGGCCUCUAAGAAGAGGAAGAGGGAGAGAUCUCUCUCUGCCGUGUGAUGACACAGUGAGAAGGUGACCCUCUGCAGGCCAGGAAGAGAGCUCUCACCAGAACCUGACCAUGCUGGCCCCUUGAACUUGAACUUCUAACUUCCAGAACUGUGCGAAAAUAAAGUUCUGUUGUUUCGGCCA